GGGGGGGGGGGGUUCUGGAUGAAGAUCUCAUCAUGCUGAAAUUCAACAGAGUGUGAGGUUCCUGACACCACCAUGUUUUUCUGGUACUGAAAUUAGCAUAAUGGUGGUAUGGUACUGUUAAAAAUUUACUAAAAAAAAACACAAAUAGGAACACUUUAAUUUUUCUUUUUGUUGAUUCCACAUACUUUCUUGCUUAUUUCUUCCCUAUGGAGGUUUUGGAAUAUCCAGAUUUAACCUCUUUAAUUAGUUUUCUCAUUUAAAGUCAUUUUGAAUUACCUAAAAAUAUUUUGCAUCUUGUGGCACUGCCAUUUUUUACGGGCACCACUACUUUUUGUUAGCAUUUGUGUAAGGUUGCUAAUUUCCAGAAGCAUGUGGCGUAGCAUAGUAUAAAGGUCAUCAUCGCACACUUCCUUGGUUGUCCAGAAUUCCGGAUAUGAGCAACAUAUGACUUUUGUGGUAGUCGUUAAUGCGCGGAAUCAGCUUAAAUAAUUAGAAUCUCUACUGUGCCUCUUCGUCUUUUUGGUUUUUUUUUUGGUUUACAUUUUGGGUUUUGUAGUUUGGUAUCUUCUUGACUUUAAUUGCCAUUGCUAGUACUUUUGGCACUGGCUUAUGUCUCGUUCAUGUCCUACACAAGACAAAGAUGUCUUCUUUUUAUUCUUUUUACCAGUUCUUCAACUAGGCAGACCACGGAAUGUUGUGUUGAUAAGUGAAGAAUUAUUUGUAAAUGUGGUUUGGGGAGGGAAGAGAAAGUCUCCUCGCCGGACAUUUACAAUGGCAGUACACUACAGGUCACCAUUGUAUCCUGCUGGGGAGAUCUUUAUUUCCUUUUUUUAAUCUAUAAAGAUUGCUACACUUAACAGCACAAGUUUUCAGGGAAAAUGAAUGUUUGAAACAACUGCAAAAAAAAAGAACAAAUUCAAAAUUGCCAAAUUUAUCCUUAAAGACUUGGGAAUAAAAGUAGUAAAGAAUGACAUAUUUUAAGAUAGUGUGCUAAGUAAAAAAAGAAAUAAUAAAAAAAAGUAAUUUAAAAAAAUCAAAAAUAAUUUAGGAAAAGUCUGAAAAUGAUUUUGACUUAGAAAAUCCUAAACUCAUUUUUUAAAACUUGGCAGUAACAGAAGUUAGGAAUGUGACUAAUUCAAACAGGGUACACCGAGUCAAAUCAUUUCAAUACAAGUAAUUUAGAAAAAAAGUCAAAAAUUAAUAUAGUCAAAAAUAAUUUUGUAUUUCAAAAUAUCAAUUUUAUCUUAAUAUUUGGGAGUACCAGUAGUAAGGAAUAAAAGACUGUUAUGUGGAAACUAAUUUAUAAAAACAAAAUCAAAAAAUAAAUUUGAGAGUCAAAAAAUGUAGAAAAAUAGUCACAUUUUACUUAAAAAAUCACUGAAUUGAUCUUUUAAGACUUUAAGGUAACAGGUAAGGAGUGACAAAUUCUAGCACUGAAAAAAUAAUUUAAGAAAAAUGUCAAAAAAUUAAUUUAAAGGAAAAAAAAUACAAGUAAAAGAUAUCAAAUUUACUCUUUCCAGACGUAGGGGAAACCGAGGUAAAGAGUGAUCAAUUUCAACAAAGUUCAAACACAGUCAAAAAUAAUUUUGAAAAAAAUCACAAAACAUUAUUCAGAAAAAAGUUUUGACAAAAUAAAGUCAGAAAUAAUUUGAAGUUAAAAAAUAUAGAAUUUAGUCUUUAAGAUGAUAGAAGUAAGGAAUGACAAACUCUGAGUCAAAAAUGUAAUUUUAGAAAAAUUCAGAAAUAAUUUAAAAUUCAAAAAUGGCAAAUGUAUCCUUUAAGAAUUGGGAGAACACGAAAUAAGAAAUGACAAACUCUGAGUCUGCACCAAGUCAAACAUAAUUUAGAAACAUUCAAAAAAUAACGUAGAAUAAUAAUCAAAAAUGAUUGAAAAACAUAGAAGAAAUUUGGAAGAAAACCAUAAUAAUGAUUUAUA